CGCGGCCUAUCAGCUUGUUGGUGAGGUAACGGCUCACCAAGGCAUCGACGGGUAGCUGGUCUGAGAGGAUGAUCGGCCACACUGGGACUGAGACACGGCCCAGACUCCUACGGGAGGCAGCAGUGGGGAAUAUUGCACAAUGGGCGCAAGCCUGAUGCAGCAACGCCGCGUGCGGGAUGAAGGCCCUAGGGUUGUAAACCGCUUUCAGCAGGGAAGAAAAUGACGGUACCUGCAGAAGAAGGUGCGGCCAACUACGUGCCAGCAGCCGCGGUGACACGUAGGCACCAAGCGUUGUCCGGAUUUAUUGGGCGUAAAGAGCUCGUAGGCGGUUCAGUUAGUCGGGUGUGAAAACUCUGGGCUCAACCCAGAGACGCCACCCGAUACUGCUGUGACUAGAGUACGGUAGGGGAGCGGGGAAUUCCUGGUGUAGCGGUGAAAUGCGCAGAUAUCAGGAGGAACACCAGUGGCGAAGGCGCCGCUCUGGGCCGUAACUGACGCUGAGGAGCGAAAGCAUGGGUAGCAAACAGGAUUAGAUACCCUGGUAGUCCAUGCCGUAAACGUUGGGCACUAGGUGUGGGUCUCAACCAACGAGAUCCGCGCCGUCGCUAACGCAUUAAGUGCCCCGCCUGGGGAGUACGG
rnacentral:rRNA from 1 species